rnacentral:lncRNA from 1 species
AGCCUUCAUAGCACCAAAAGGUGAACAAGUGGGGCCUUGUGAAUCCUCCACCAUCCAUUCUGGAAUGUUGACCAACUUGAUCAUGUGCAGACAACCACAGCUGCUAUGAAAAUUCGAGUACAGAGGACACUGCCUCGACUCAGGCUGAGAUGAUCAAGUACGAGAAGUCACUUCUUGCAGAAUGCCUCCAACAGAACAGACGGAUCAAAAUAGAAGUGUGUCUCUUCCCUCAGUAAGAAGACAUCUGUUAGAGCAGCUGCUAAGUCACCAGAGAUCAGCCUUUCUCCCCUCUAGUCUGUGGUCCUCAACAAGUGGCUAAUAUGCCACUCGACCCGAUCUGGCUGCUCCAGCUCCUACCAUCAGGUCUGGAUUCCAGAGAGGAGGAAAGAGGGAGCAAAAUGGCAUUGCUCUCUCUUAGAUGUUCCCUUUUAAAAGUCGUUACUUCUAUGUUCAUCCCCUUGGCUAAGGACUUAGUUAUAUAGAAACAUUUGGCUGCGAGAGAAGCUAGGGAAUAUUUUGUCUAUUUUGGGUAGCCACAUAUCUUGCUAAAAAUUCAAGAUCGGACUUUCACAGGGGAGAACGAUGAGAAUGGAUCUAAGGGGAUCCCCAAGUGCUGAGAGCUUUCUCAGGUGGCAUCAUUAGCAUAGAGACAGAACAUGAUUUUACCCAAUUCAGAUCACCCGGUCACUUCCUCUGUGCUUGGACUAGGAGAUGGAAAGACAAGUGAUGCACAGAUCCACCCUCCAUGUUUGAGAUUCAGAGCAGAGAUGGCAAGCUGGUGACAUGAGGUGGUCAACAGGCACAGUGUGUUUGGCUGACUGACGUGUGAGCCAGCACUCAAACUGUCACUUGUUUGACAGUACUCAGAACUGUCACAGAAGGAGCCAGCUGGCUUUCAAGCUCUUCACUCAGAGGGUUCCCCUGUGUCCAAGGCUGAAAAGCAACAGGCCCUUCAUGCUGGGUGAUACCAUUUGACUAAGAAAUGUGUUCAUGCACGCUGCUGGGGAGAUAGCUGAGCUGCUCAAGUCGCUGCUAUGCAUUCAUGAGAACAUGAGUUCGGAUCCCCAGCACCCGUGUUAAAAAUACAAAAACUAAAACCAAACAAAAAACACAAACAACAACGACGACAACAACAACAACAACAACAACAACAACAACAACAGCAACAAACCAGACACAGCAGCAAGUGUUGGAAGUCCAGGAACGGGAAGCAAGAGAUUGAUGGAGCCAGGAACUUAAUGGCCUGACAGUCUAGCCACGGAGAGAGCUCCAAGGUUAGUGGGAGACCCUGCCCCACAAAAUGAGGUGGUGAGUGUGGUGCAAGGCUUUCCCUGAAGAUGGCAACCCUCUGAGAAAGCUCAGCAGGAGAACGACCAUCUACAGUCUUGUGCUUAAGUCCCCUGUGAGACUGUAUCGCUGGUGCUCUGCAGCCUGCACUCAGCAUGUUGGUAGUUGGCUGGUUGGCUCUUGGAUCCAGUGCAAAAGCGGUGUGCAAAGACAGGUUGAGAAAUGAAAGGGGGAUUUCAUGGUUUCUGCCUUGGGGGUGCUUAAGAUAAAAGGUUUAGAACGGCAAAGAAUCCUUUUGUCCAAAAGGUCUCCCCUCUUCUGCUUUGCUUGUUUACUUGGUAAGCAGACAGGAGAAGGAAAUGUUCUGGUACAAAUACAUAGCCUGAGGGAGCUGGAACUGUUUCUGCUGCCAGGAACACCCCAAACAGAGCCUUGAGUGUUUCCGCAGCCCUGGGGCCACUCAGAGCCAGCUUGGGUAAAUGUGGAGAUGGCUUUGGGUCUAGUCCUGGCCAGUGUAGAGCGGGGCGAUGGGGGAGGGGAUCAGCGGCUUCCCCUCUGAGUGAUAGUGAAAGACUGAACCAGACCCUGAAUUUUUACUUAGCAUAAAUGUUACUGCAUCACAGCAGCUACAUGAAGCCUGCCUGCAGGGGAGAGAGCUCCAGAGUGGAUUUAGCACCUAGGUCUUCAAUCUUUUGGGUCACAGGGAGUCGUGGCGUGACAGAGUCACCAGGGACUCAUUCUUUCUUUGUUCUCGUCUGAUCUUUCACCCCUUCAUUCAUAGAACACUAGCUGUGGUAUCCCUGUUCCAGGUAGGAAAGUGGAGGUUAGUGGUAAUCCUUCCUUCUUUAGUGGAGGCUAAAGUUACCUACUUGUGAGAAAAAGUCACUGUAGUUCAGGGAGA